GUAACACCACAGGCUUCGUGGCUUGAAACAACCAGAAUGAGCACAACCCACUUUGGAGGCUGUUAUUUGGGGUCCCCAGGCCAGCUCCGCCAGGGGCUUUUCAAGGAGCAGAGUCUUAUGGGUCUCGCUGGUCUUAUGUUUUCAUUGUGGAUUGCUCAGAUGCAAUACUCCAGCCCGUGGUUAUUCUACGGGAGGAACAAAGCCUGACUUUUGACUGGGAGUGAGCGCCCUGGCUGGAAUGGAACAUGGGGUCUUUAGUCCCCAAGGAUUCUCCCUCGGGAUGCCUUUUAUCUCACUGGAAUCAAGUUGGAUCGCAAGAUCUAAGAAAGAGAACACUGAUCUUUUUCUAUAACAUUGCACAGACUCAGUACUUCUUAAGAUAUUAGGGAAACUGGCCCAUCGAUGGGACAUUAA